CAAAUAUAUAAUGACCAGACUAGGUCUAUACUGCUCCUACAUGGUGUAACAAUACAUCAUGUAGAUGUAUAUAAUGACCAGACUAGGUCUAUACUGCUCCUACAUGGUGUAACAUCAUGUAGAUGUAUAUAAUGACCAGACUAGGUCUGUACUGCUCCUACAUGGUGUAACAUCAUGUAGAUGUAUAUAAUGAACAGACUAGGUCUAUACUGCUCCUACAUGGUGUAACAUCAUGUAGAUGUAUAUAAUGACCAGACUAGGUCUAUACUGCUCCUACAUGGUGUAACAUCAUAUAGAUGUAUAUAAUGACCAGACUAGGUCUAUACUGCUCCUACAUGGUGUAACAAUACAUCAUAUAGAUGUAUAUAAUGACCAGACUAGGUCUAUACUGCUCCUACAUGGUGUAACAAUACAUCAUAUAGAUGUAUAUAAUGAACAGACUAGGUCUAUACUGCUCCUACAUGGUGUAACAUCAUGUAGAUGUAUAUAAUGACCAGACUAGGUCUAUACUGCUCCUACAUGGUGUAACAA
ensembl:lncRNA